AAAUUGAGUUAAGAUGAAAAGUGGGUCCACGUGAUAAUAAUACGGUUGUUGACGAUGCAGAAAAUAUCUUGGUCCCAUUGCCCUCAUCUUCGAAGUUUCUUCAGAGUGAAAGAGUAUACAACGUACGACACAUUGAAUCCAGUAUUCUCGUAAUCGAAUCCAUGGCUGCCUUAACCUUCCUUAUCCGUACACUUGUCUUUCUUCGUGUUUCCUUAGUUUUUGCAAACGUUAAUCUGGAUUCGCGACUUUCCACAGAUGGCAAUGAUGCGUGGCGUUCACCCUGGGGCGAAUUUGCUUUUGGGUUUCGGCAACUGAGUAAUUUUGGUACGAAGCUGUUCAUGGUUGCCAUCUGGUACGACAAGAUACCCGACAAGACCGUUGUUUGGAGUGCAAAAACAGACUACAGACUUGCAACAGCGCCAACAGGAUCACACGUUCAGAUCACGAAAGAAGGGCUGUCGCUGACAAGUCCCGAAGGAGAUUCCAUAUAGAGGGCGAAACCAGAAGCCACUGUUUCGGAAGGAGCUAUGCUUAACAAUGGCAACUUUGUUCUACUAAACGGAAGCUCUGAAUAUGAAAAUGUGUGGCAAAGUUUUGACAAUCCCACAGACACCUUGUUGCCUAACCAAUCUCUCCAGCUUGGACUCGGAGGCGUUCUAACUUCACGAUUCACAGACACCAAUUACACAACUGGAAGGUUCCAACUUUAUUUUCAGGAUUUUAAUGUUAUGCUGAGCCCCCUUGCUUUUCCUUCUCAACUGCGUUACAACCCUUAUUAUCAUGCAAUUAAUGAUGCCUCAGUUGGCAAUGCUUCACGAUUAGUGUUUGAUAAAUCUGGGGAAAUCUAUGUAGAGACGACUGGUGGGACUAGAAAUAGAAUCCUACCUCAAGUUGAUAAUACUCUUGAUACCGAGGUGAAUUACUACAGAGCGACCCUUGAUUUCAGUGGAGUUUUCACGCUGUAUGCUCAUCCAAGGAACACCAGUGGCCAACCAAGGUGGAGAAUCAUGAACUAUGUUCCUGACAACAUUUGCGAUGCAAUAUUCAAUGAUUAUGGUAGCGGUUCCUGUGGCUAUAAUAGUUAUUGCUCCAUGGAAAAUGAUAGGCCUACUUGCAACUGCCCUUAUGGCUAUUCACUGGUUGAUCCAAGUAAUGAAUCUGGUGGAUGCCAACCCAAUUUCACUCUCGCUUGUGGAGCCGAUGUUCAACAACCGCCAGAAGAACUGUAUGAAAUGCAUGUAGCCAAAAAUUUUAAUUUUCCUUUGGGAGAUUAUGAAAAGGUAGAACCUUACUCUCAACAGGAAUGCCAACAAGCAUGCUUGCACGAUUGCAUGUGUGCUGUUGCCAUUUUAGAGGUGGACACUUGUUGGAUGAAGAGAUUGCCCCUUGGUAAUGGAAGACAAGUACCAAUCAGGGAUCAACAUUUUGUCUAUAUCAAAACAAGACUUAGUCCUGACUUUUAUCCUGGUCUUGCAAACAGGGAACUUCCCGCUGCUCCUGAUUCAAAGAAAGAAAAUCGAGCUAAGUCAAUUAUUUUGGGAUCACUUAUUGCUUCCCUUGUCGUUAACAGUAUUCUCCUGGCUGCGGUUGCUUUGUUUUUUCUCUUGAAGCCGAAACUGAAAAAGGUUAUACAAGCUUCCGCUCUUUUGGAAACAAAUUUGCAUUCCUUUAGUUUUGAGGCAUUGAAAGAGGCCACAGAGGAUUUUUGUAAAGAACUAGGCAGGGGUUCCUGUGGCAUUGUUUACAAAGGCAAACUAGAAACAGCAGAUUCUUGUAAUGUGAUUGCCGUCAAGAGAUUGGACAGAUUGGCACAAGAACGAGAGAAAGAAUUUAGGACAGAAUUGAGUGCCAUUGGUAAAACAUCCCACAAAAAUCUGGUCAGGUUGAUUGGAUUUUGUGACCAGGGAAUCAAUAGACUAUUGGUGUACGAGUUCAUGAGCAAUGGUACCCUUGCAGACAUUCUAUUUGGACACUCCAAACCCAUCUGGAAUUUAAGGGUUGGAUUUGUUUUGGGGAUUGCAAGAGGGUUGGUGUACUUACACGAAGAGUGUGACUCUGCCAUCAUACAUUGUGAUAUAAAACCUCAAAAUAUACUCAUAGAUGAACAUUUCAAUGCAAAGAUAUCCGACUUUGGGUUGGCCAAGUUGUUGUUGUUUGACCAAAGUAGAACGAAUACGAUGAUCCGAGGAACUCGAGGAUAUGUGGCUCCUGAAUGGUUCAAGAAUGUUGCUGUGACGGUUAAAGUGGAUGUUUACAGCUUUGGGGUGAUGUUGUUGGAAAAUAUUUGCUGCAGAAGAAGUGUGAUGACCAUGGAACCCGAGGAAGAAGAAAAGGCAAUAUUGACAGAUUGGGCUUAUGAUUGUUGUGUGGAAGGGAGGUUACAUGCUUUGGUGGAGAACGAUAGGGAAGCAUUGUCUGACAUUGGCAGGUUACAAAGGUGGGUAAAGAUAGCAAUUUGGUGCAUUCAAGAGGAUCCUGAAAUGAGGCCAACUAUGGGGAAAGUUAACCAAAUGCUGGAAGGUUUAGUUGAAGUCGCUAACCCACCAUCGCCUAAUCCUGAUAUUUGAUUUCUUGACUUAAUUCACAUCCUGCCUAAAAUAUUGGGAGAGAAGUUCGUGAGAUUUUAUUCUAUGCGUUGUUAUUUUCUAUUAUAUUUAUUAUUUUCUGCAUAUAUAAUAGCUAUCAAUCCUUGUACUCUAAUUAAGUUAUUGUUCUAUGUGGUUCAAUAUGUUGUCUUAUUUGGAAUUAUUUUAUGUAGGAAGCAAGCUUAAUUAGCACGAAUAGUUUCAGCAUUUCAUUCA